rnacentral:rRNA from 1 species
UACGUAGGGGGCAAGCGUUGUCCGGAUUUAUUGGGCGUAAAGAGCUCGUAGGUGGUUCGGUAAGUCGGAUGUGAAAUCUCCAGGCUCAACCUGGAGGGGUCAUUCGAUACUGCCGUGACUAGAGUUCGGUAGGGGAGUGUGGAAUUCCUGGUGGAGCGGUGAAAUGCGCAGAUAUCGGGAAGAACACCCGUGGCGAAGGCGGCUCUCUGGGACGGUACUGACGCUGAGACGCGAAAGCGUGGGGAGCGAACAGG